GACGAACGCUGGCGGCGUGCCUAAUACAUGCAAGUAGAACGCACAGUUUAUACCGUAGCUUGCUACACCAUAAACUGUGAGUUGCGAACGGGUGAGUAACGCGUAGGUAACCUGCCUGGUAGCGGGGGAUAACUAUUGGAAACGAUAGCUAAUACCGCAUAAUAUUGAUUAUUGCAUGAUAAUUGAUUGAAAGAUGCUAUUGCAUCACUACCAGAUGGACCUGCGUUGUAUUAGCUAGUAGGUGAGGUAACGGCUCACCUAGGCGACGAUACAUAGCCGACCUGAGAGGGUGAUCGGCCACACUGGGACUGAGACACGGCCCAGACUCCUACGGGAGGCAGCAGUAGGGAAUCUUCGGCAAUGGACGAAAGUCUGACCGAGCAACGCCGCGUGAGGGAAGAAGGUUUUCGGAUCGUAAAGCUCUGUUGUAAGAGAAGAACGGGUGUGAGAGUGGAAAGUUCACACUGUGACGGUAGCUUACCAGAAAGGGACGGCUAACUACGUG
rnacentral:rRNA from 1 species